rfam:Solanum tuberosum cultivar DM 1-3 516 R44 scf00005_252, whole genome shotgun sequence.
AAAUAUCAAAUUUUAAUCGGUUUUGUUCGGAUUGCGGUUUGAUUUGACCUUUUAACUAUAACCAUGAACAACCCUACGCAUAAGAUCCUACCCGUGGGAGGGGAACUACAACUAGAAACAGUUGCUAAUAUCCCAUAGGCUGAGGAGCAAAAGGAGGAAUCCGCUCAAGGAGGGGCUCAUGUGUGAUUAGCUAGUUGGUGAGGUAAUAACUUAACAAGGUGAUUAGCAGUAGCUAGUACAUGAGGAUGAUCAGCCAUACUAGGACUAAGACACAACCUAGACUCCUACGGGAGGCAGAAGUUGGGAAGUUUCUGCAAUGGGCGAAAGACUGAUGGAACAAUGUCGCAUGGAGGUAGAAGUCCCACGGGUCAUGAACUUCUUUUCCCGGAGAAGAAGAAAUGAAAGUAACUAGGGAAUAAACAUCGACUAACUCUAUGCCAGCAGCCGCGGUAAUACAGAGGAUGCAAGCACUAUCUGAAAUGAUUGGGUGUAAAAUAUCUGUAGGUAGCUUUUUAAGUCUGCCGGCAAAUCCCAGGGCUCAACCUUGGACAAGGGGAGGAAACUACCAAGAUGGAGUAUGUUAGGGGCAUAGGGAAUUUCUAUUAGAGCAGUGAAAUUCAUAGAGAUCAGAAAGAACACCAACAGCAAAAGCACUUAGCUAGGCCGACACUGACUCUGAGAGACAAAAGUUAGGGGAGAAAAUGGGAUUAGAUACUCUAGUAUUCCUUGUCAUAAAUGAUGUAUACUAGGCGUUGUGCGUAUCGACCCAUCUAGUAAUAUCGAUAACACGUUAAGUAUCCCGCCUAGGGAGCACAUUCGUAAGAAUGAAACUCAAAGGAAUUUACAAGGGGCUACACAAACGGUGGAGCAUGUGGUUUAAUUCUAUGCAAAGUGAAGAACCUUACCAAGGCUUGACAUGCCGCAUUUUCUCUUGAAAGAUAAGGGUGCCUUCAGGAUCACAGACACAAGUUGUGCAUGGAUAUCACAGCUCGUGUUGUAAGGUGUUGCCUUAAGUCCUGUAACGAUCGCAAACCUCAUGUUUAGUUGCCAUCUUUUAGUUUGGAAACCUGAACAGACUGCCAGUGAUAAGUCGAAGGAAAGGUAAGUAUGAUCUCAAGGCAUCAUGCCCAUUAUACCUUGGGUGACACCUGUGCUAAAAUGGCUGGGACAAAGGGUCGUGAUACCACGAGGGUAAGAUAACCCCAAAAACCCAUCCUCAAUUCAAAUUGCAAGUUGCAUUUCACCUACAUGAAGUCGAAAUCGCUAGUAAUCAUCGUUCAGCCAUACGAUGGUAAAUUCAUUUAUGGGCUUUGUACAUACCGCUCAUCACAAUAUGGGAGAUGGCCAUGCCCGAAGUGGUUACCUUAAUUUGACGGAGGGGGAUGCCAAAGACAGGGCUAGUGACUGGAGUGAAAUCGCAACAACAUAGCCAUAUUGGAAGGUCCGGCUGGAUCACCUCAUUU